AGAGUUUGAUCCUGGCGUCAGGACGAACGCUGGCGGCGUGCUUAACACAUGCAAGUCGAACGGAGCACCCUGAAGGAGUUUUCGGACAACGGAAGGGAAUGCUUAGUGGCGGACUGGUGAGUAACGCGUGAGGAACCUGCCUUUCAGAGGGGGACAACAGUUGGAAACGACUGCUAAUACCGCAUGAUGUAUCGGAAUCGCAUGGUACUGAUACCAAAGAUUUAUCGCUGAAAGAUGGCCUCGCGUCUGAUUAGCUAGUUGGUGAGGUAACGGCCCACCAAGGCGACGAUCAGUAGCCGGACUGAGAGGUUGACCGGCCACAUUGGGACUGAGAUACGGCCCAGACUCCUACGGGAGGCAGCAGUGGGGAAUAUUGGGGCAAUGGACGCAAGUCUGACCCAGCAACGCCGCGUGAAGGAAGAAGGCUUUCGGGUUGUAAACUUCUUUUAAGGGGGAAGAGCAGAAGACGGUACCCCUUGAAUAAGCCACGGCUAACUACGUG
rnacentral:rRNA from 1 species